AGAGUGUGAAGGACUUUGCACCAAGACGCAAGGAUCCAAGAGACUGCCUGUGCUUUCUGGCAUUUGAAGGUUCGCAUUUUAAUGGCAAUCCUUGAAAACCUAAAAGCCUUAGAAACUAGAAGAAAUCAAUGUUUAAUGAUGGAACUUGAAACAUUAUGACAAAGGAGAAGGAGCUGAAAGGAAUUUUUAGACAUCACUGAGUGCAACCAAUUCAUCUUCUGCAUGAGCAAACAUAGAAGGAGAGAGAGAAAUGACAGGUGUCACACUACAGCCCCAGAUUUCCUAACACAAACUCCAGGAAAAGAAUCAUAUUGACUCACCUAGUAAUCUACCAAGCCCUGUCAGAGGCUAUGGACCUUCCUAUUCCACUUUUCAACGCCUGUCAAAGAUGACAAAGAUGACAAACAAGUGAUGAGGACACUGAGGCACAAUUAAAGAAUAACUUGUCAAAGAUCACAGUGUUAUUAGCAGUGAGAAAGAAUGCAGAUAAAAUCUUCCAACUCUGCAUCCCCCAUGUGCCCCACACCUUGCCCCGGGGUUACUGAAGACAGAGAACCACUGCAAACUGGUCGCAGGCUACCUUUUCAACCCUCACUGUCACCACACUAGAUGCUGGGCUGCUACUUCUGGAAUGCUCUACUCACUCCGUGCUUUCUCCAUUGCUGAGGUUUUCCUCUCCCUCCCUCUCUUCUCUGUGCUCACCUGGAGAAACUCCUUCAUCCUUCAAGGUCUCCAAUGUCACUCACUCCCUGUGGACUUCCCUUCCCACCUCCCUUCCCUUCCCUAGACAACGUUUAAUUAUUUCCACAGCACUAGGAUCAGGCUUCUGUCAUGCAGUUCGCAUGUUAUGUCACAGCUAAUUGUUUACUAUUCUGUCUCUUCUUUCAGAUUAAGAGCUCCUCAAAGAAGAAAUAUCAUUUUAUUCAUCUGUGUUCUCUAAUGUCAAACAAAGUGACUAGCAUAUAAUAGAUAGGCAUUUAAUUAUAUAUUGAAUUGAAUUGGAUACAACUGCUUUAGCUGUCCAUUUGAUUUUGACCCAAUAAGGGUUACAACAAAAUAAAAUCAGAAACCCUUUCACCUAGUGUAGGACUAAUAUAAUAAAAGAUUUUAGUCAAUGAA
rnacentral:lncRNA from 1 species